GUUUAAAUAGCUUAAUAAAAGAGCGUGGCACUGAAGAUGCCAAGGAGAUUUUAAGAUCUUUAAACA
rnacentral:tRNA from 1 species